rnacentral:rRNA from 1 species
UACGUAGGGAGCGAGCGUUGUCCGGAUUCAUUGGGCGUAAAGAGCUCGUAGGCGGCUUGGUAAGUCGGAUGUGAAACCUCCAGGCUCAACCUGGAGUCGCCAUCCGAUACUGUCAUGGCUAGAGUCCGGUAGGGGCCCACGGAAUUCCUGGUGUAGCGGUGAAAUGCGCAGAUAUCAGGAGGAACACCGGUGGCGAAGGCGGUGGGCUGGGCCGGCACUGACGCUGAGGAGCGAAGGCGUGGGGAGCGAACAGG